rnacentral:misc_RNA from 1 species
GAUGAAGAACGCAGCGAAAUGCGAUAAGUAAUGUGAAUUGCAGAAUUCAGUGAAUCAUCGAAUCUUUGAACGCACAUUGCGCCCGCUGGUAUUCCGGCGGGCAUGCCUGUUCGAGCGUCAUUUCAACCCUCAAGCUCUCCGGAGUUUGGUGUUGGGGCGCCUGGGGCUUUUCGACCUCAGGGCCCUCAAGUCCAUCGGCGGGACCGCCAGGACACUGAGCGCAGUAGUAUUAUUUCGCUCGGUAGGAUCUUCCACGGCGGGUCGAUCUGGCCGCUAAACCCCCCAAUUCUCACCAAAGGUUGACCUCGGAUCAGGUAGGAACACCCGCUGAACUUAAGCAUAUCAAUAAGCGGAGGA